rnacentral:rRNA from 1 species
UACGAGGGGUGCAAGCGUUGCUCGGAAUUAUUGGGCGUAAAGGGUAGGUAGGUGGUCUCGUUUGUCUGGGGUGAAAGCCUUGAGCUUAACUCAAGAAGUGCCCCAGAAACGGCGAGACUAGAGUAUUGGAGAGGGUCGUGGAAUUCCCGGUGUAGCGGUGAAAUGCGUAGAGAUCGGGAGGAACACCAGCGGCGAAGGCGGCGACCUGGACAAUUACUGACACUCAACUACGAAAGCGUGGGGAGCAAACAGG